AUGAACUGGAGGAAGUUCAAUCUGGCCAGAGACUAUUGGUUGUUGUUAGUUGGUUUCCCAGCAGAUCUUCGUUGCAUGUCUGAACUCAACAACGCUGUCUCUAGUUUUGGAAAGUUGCUUUCUUGGGAUCGAGUGAAAACCACGGAUGCAGCUGUUGCAGUGAAAGUUAGAAUCGAUGCUCUUUCUGAUGUUCCAGUCAAUGUUGCAAUUUUUGUGCAACAAGAUUUGAUGCCUGAUACUGCAACUGUUGAUCAGCUGCCUCUGGAUCAACCGCCCCAAGAGUUGCCACAAGUGCAGAACCCAGUUGUUCAGCUGCCUGAUAUCACCAUGCCUGAAGAUCAAGUGUUGAUGGCUCCAUUGUCUACUCAAGAUGACAGCAUUCUUCAGCAAGAGGCUGUUGGUGCUGCUGCUGAGCUUCAGGGAGUAGCUCUGGAUAUCCUUCAGGGAGCUGAUAUUCCUGCUGCGGUCAGCCAUGCUGAAAAUAACAAAGCUUCAGACCUGCCUAGUCCAGAUUCAGCUGCACAAGGUCUGCACUAG
rnacentral:rRNA from 1 species